AGCCUGACCUGCAGCCCCCUCUCUCCUCAGCAUCUUCCCCUACGGUUUCAAGGCUGCAGGCGGGGCCGAAAACCUUGGGGCUUUCGGCUUCCCUCCCCUCUUGCGCAUAGCCUCUUCCCUACACGAAGACCUACACGAAGGCCGAGUGAGCCGCCUGGAGUCAGGCAGGUUGGGACGGGGUCAAGAACGUAGGCAUUCCCGCCAGCUUUCGUCCCGGUACCCGGUACCCGUGGGGCGAGGUAGAGUCGUGUUCGCCCUCCCCAACCCUGUUCCGGUUACUAGUGACUACCUCCUCCCCCGACGGAACUCCGCGCGGCCUCCAGCGCCUCCCACACGCCCAGCCCGGCCCCGCCCCGCCCCGCCCGGCGGUGGGCCUGCCCUAACCCGUGUAGUUGCUGGCCUCGACACUGCAGUGCACUGGGGACACGGCCACAGCCAGGCUCUAGUACAGCCCCCUUCGGCGGGUGCUGCGCGCCCGCGUCCGAGGGCACAGCAGGCGCCUGGAAGUGGCACGGCCCCCAGUCCAUCAGUGCCAAAGCAGCCAGGGACCCCGUCCCCUCAGCUGCUUGGAAGGAGACCCCACGCAGGUGUGGGCCCCCGUCUGUGUGGGGGUGUCAUCCCAGGCUAGGGGCCCCAGGUGGUCGCCUGCCCCUCCGCCCAGCUUGUUGCUGUGACGGCACUGGCCGGAAACCAUCCCCUAUGUGUGGUGGCAAAGGACUUUCCUUAGCGGGCAGGAUGGCUGGAUUUUAAGUACCUCUCAGUGAGCAGCUCAAGCCCAGGAGGGAGCAGAGCGUGAGGACUGAUGCACCAGGUGGAUACUGUAGAGCCCAGGUGGCACCUGGCAGCUGAGCCCCAUGCCUGCCUUCCAGAGCAUUCCUGCCAGGCUCUCUGGGCUGACGGGGCCAGGGGAGGUCACAGGUAGGGUACCAGUUCGAGCUUUGUGCGUCCAUCCCUGGUGGGCUGGUUGCCUCAGAUUGUUUCCCGAUGCGAGUUUCACCCACGGGUGGCCCAGAGCCCUGUGGCCGUGGCGUGGCCAGGCCCCUGAGUCUUGGUGGCCUGGGGGUCGGGGUGGGGGAAGCGCAGCAGUGCUGCCCCGCCUGCCUGUCGUCGAGGUCCCGCCGCACAGAGGGCCCGCUCCCAGCUGCUCUCUGCCAGUGCGCCCGUCCACUCCGGGGACUGGUGGAGUCUCUGUUUUUGCUGCUUUCUCUUUUCAAAACCGUACCAGUCUUUAGAAAAGGCGUGGUCUGAUUGUUACAAACCGCUAGGAUACUGCCUCCCCCAGGGUCUAAAGUUCCGUGUUCAAGGGGGGAAAGUGAACAGCAAAACCCCUUGUCAACAAUUCAGAAGGAAGACUUCGGAAACAUUUAGCAAGAAACUACGUCGAGAUGUUUCCGAAGGAGUAAGAGCAAAAGCCUUUGCAAAAAUGCUGAUGUAAUGACACUUGGAGCCUGGCCUGGUAUGUGGUGGGCGCUGCAGGCCUGGGGGAAUCCAGCCUGAAACGGCUGGGUCUGAGACACAGGGUCAUCCUGUCCCUGGAGAGCCCCCCUCUCCUUAGGGGGUAGCAGUCCCCAAGGACUCAGCUGCCGCCUCUGUCCUGGGAGGGAGGCCUGCCUGUCCCAAAGCUGCAGGAGCCCAGUUCCCGGGGUUGGAAGGAGCAUGUUCGGCAGGGCAUCGGAAGGCCCGCGACCUUCUCACUGCCCAGCGCCUCCUUUCUCAGGUCCGCAGAGCCCACCCCAGUGCGGCCGUGUCAGGAGGAUGAGUUCUAACAGGGCCCAGGCGACUGGGACGGAGAGGGGUGCAGCCCGCCCCCAAGGCUGGUCCCCUGCUCCACACUCCUUGGGGCCUAGGGCCCAGGCGAGGUGGCACUCACCUUGGGCUCUGCCCCCCUUGCCCCUCACCCGCAAGAGCCCCUGGGGCAGAGGUAGGGUGGGGGCAAGGACAGGUGCUGGGCAGAGCCGAGACCUCCAGCCUCGAGUUCCAGAACCGAUGGGAAACCUGCAGAUUGCCUUUGCUCUGUUCGCUGCCCCCUCUCUCCUGCCUCUCCUCAGGUCCUGCUCAGCAGUGAGAGAAAAAAGGCCAAGAGGUUUGGCUCCUGCCCACUGGUAGUCCCUGUCCCCGCAGUGUUUGCGUGUCAAGUGACAAAGCUGUUCUUCCUGGUGACCCUGAUUCUCUGCAGUAUCUUGUAGACUAUACGCAUAGGCCUGCUUGGUCUCUUCUGUCCUGGGCUUUUGUUUUGCUUUUUAGUUUUGCUUUUAGUUCUGUCCCUUUUAUUUAAUGCACCGAGUAGACACACAGAGCGGUUGAAGUUUUAUAUCUAUAUAUAUCUGUAUAUUGCACAGUUAUAAACUCAUUUUGCUUGUGGCUCCACACACAAAAAAAGACCUGUUAAAAUUAUACCUGUUGCUUAAUUACAAUAUUUCUGAUAACCAUAGCAUAGGACAAGG
ensembl:lncRNA